UUCUGGCUCAGGAUGAACGCUGGCGGCGUGCUUAACACAUGCAAGUCGAACGAAGCUCUAAGAACGGAGGAUUCGUCCAAAGGGAUAGAUGACUUAGUGGCGGACGGGUGAGUAACGCGUGGGUAACCUGCCGUAUGCAGGGGGACAACAGUUGGAAACGACUGCUAAUACCGCAUAAGCGCACAGUAUUGCAUGAUACAGUGUGAAAAAGAUUUAUCGGCAUACGAUGGACCCGCGUCUGAUUAGCUAGUUGGUGAGGUAACGGCCCACCAAGGCAACGAUCAGUAGCCGGCCUGAGAGGGUGAACGGCCACAUUGGGACUGAGACACGGCCCAAACUCCUACGGGAGGCAGCAGUGGGGAAUAUUGCACAAUGGGGGAAACCCUGAUGCAGCGACGCCGCGUGAGUGAAGAAGUAUCUCGGUAUGUAAAGCUCUAUCAGCAGGGAAGAAAAUGACGGUACCUGACUAAGAAGCCCCGGCUAACUACGUGCCAGCCGCCGC
rnacentral:rRNA from 1 species